GUUGUUUUCUCAGCUUCUCUAGAAAAUGAAGCUCAGUUUUCAUUUCUCAUGUGUUACUUUGAGAAGUACCGAGCUCUGGCUUCAAAGAUGUCACUCGGUUUCAUGAUGUGAUGCAAUUUACUGAACUAAGGCAAUCCAGGACUCUCAGAAACUUGGUCUUCUGUUAAGAGCAUCCACUACCAGAGCAGCAACGAAUGGUUACAGGAACUGGACAGCCACUGAUCUUCAACUCCAUCAGCUGAUUAAUGGCCUAUUGAAAGAGUUCCUUUGAGGGUACUUUCUUAUACUUGUCAACCCUUAUGAAGUCUCUCCUAUUUUCUGGCUCAUGUUUAUCCCCUUUGCCAACAUCUGACACUCUCUCUCUAACUCAUGAGGUCUCUACAAAUGAACGUAGCUCCCUAUUAAGUUUUUGAAGUUGAUAUGAGACCUAGAACUUCUCAGGAAUGGAGUAAAGAAACGCAUUGUUAUACAAAGUCAUUUUGUCUCUACCUAACAACAUAAGGACUGUGCUAUUGACUUGCAAAAGAAAGUCUGCCCUCAUUCUCAAGCAGAAAAUUGUCUCUGCAUUUCCUAUAUAAAAGAUGCUUUGUGUAAUUAGAAGAAGGGAUGAGAAUGAAUAGAAAUUCAAAGUGCAUUCUCUUCUUCUACAUAUCUUAUUUUGUUCCGAGUAUAAGAGAAGGACUUGGCACUUAUCUUUGAAAGAUGGUAUGAAACUUGUCAAUGAAUUUUGAAUAUUCAUCCAUCAAGGAUUCCAUGUCUGAAUGAACAACCUAGUUAAGAUUUUAUUCAUGCAUAUUGGAUGCAGCCUAAAGAAGCCCAAUUCACAGCUAUCACAGUUUAUACCUCACUUACAUCUUUCCUCUUCACCCUAUGAUACAAUGCAGGACCUCCCCACACCAUCACAAAAGAAUAAAUCCAAGA
rnacentral:lncRNA from 1 species